UCCGUCCGCAUAACUUCGACCGAACUGCUAACCCUAAAGCCAAUCUUUCCCCCAUCCUCCUCCCUUCGUGCGCCGCCACCCAUCUCUCUGCAUACCGACGCCCCUCCCCUCCCUGCUUCAGACAAUCCACCACGGAUCCUCACCAAAUACCGUCGAUCUCCCAAGCCGCAGACGCAACCCGCCAUGGCCUCCGCGUUUGAUCUGGAGAGCAAGACGUCGAUUUUGAGCUAGCUGUCGAGCGCUGCACCAACGCUAGCGUUGUCGGGCCAGCCACCGUGGAGUUCUUCUCCUACCUCGCCGCAGACGCAACCCGCGGCGUCUCCGAUCUCGGCUAGAUCGGAUCCGCCAGCAAGUUCUCUUCUCACCAGCGGCAAGUCUUCCGCGUCAGCGACCACGCGGGGCUCACCGUAGAUGGCCGCGUCCUCUCCGGAUUCCUCUGCAACGAGUACAUCAACCACUCCUUCAUCUACUACGCCCCCUCCUCAUCUCCAGGCUCGCACCCCACCUCGCAGAAAAGGUGCAGUCACCGGAAACAGCUCGUGCAUCUCUAUCGUAUGUUAGCUACUUUAAAUAGCCAACAGUCGGUUGAGUGCACUUGUUUCUUGGCGUCAGUGCUGUUCGUUUUAUCCAAGAAGUACGAAACACAGAGGGGACUUUUUCUGUAUGAGCCGGAAUCUACAGCCAAGAGAAAUGGACAACUUCAGAAAGCUUAUGUCGAGUUGUUAGCAAUAUGUGCGUUCUUCUUCUGUUUGAAAGUAAUUUAUGGUGCACUUGAGAACACAGAUUAUGACACAUCGUAACAUUUUUAUACUUGGGCAUUGUUGCUACUGAAGCUUUUCUCCCGCAGGCGGUACAUAAAUGAGAACUGUAAAUUACAGAUAGCUGUUAUGUAGGUAAAGCAUAUAUAAGUAUAUGUUUUCUUUACUUAACAUAUGGCGUGACUCGGGCAUGUUUUGUUGCUGCAUCUGGUGGUCUUUUUCACCAUGAAAUUGUACAUCGAGCAUGUGUAGAUGUGGCUCCUGCUGUAGGCAGAAAACCUUCAUCUUUUCCUUGCUACAAAUUAGCUAGUGAUGUCAUGUCAUGAAUGUACAUGUACAUUUGAAGUGCGUAGGUGUAUUUGUGUUUAA